rnacentral:rRNA from 1 species
AACAGGAUUAGAUACCCUGGUAGUCCAUGCCGUAAACGAUGAGUGCUAGGUGUUGGAGGUUUUCCGCCCUUCAGUGCCGGAGCUAACGCAUUAAGCACUCCGCCUGGGGAGUACGACCGCAAGGUUGAAACUCAAAGGAAUUGACGGGGGCCCGCACAAGCGGUGGAGCAUGUGGUUUAAUUCGAAGCUACGCGAAGAACCUUACCAGGUCUUGACAUCUUGCGCUAACCUAAGAGAUUAGGCGUUCCCUUCGGGGACGCAAUGACAGGUGGUGCAUGGUCGUCGUCAGCUCGUGUCGUGAGAUGUUGGGUUAAGUCCCGCAACGAGCGCAACCCUUGUUACUAGUUGCCAGCAUUCAGUUGGGCACUCUAGUGAGACUGCCGGUGACAAACCGGAGGAAGGUGGGGACGACGUCAGAUCAUCAUGCCCCUUAUGACCUGGGCUACACACGUGCUACAAUGGUCGGUACAACGAGUCGCUAACCCGCGAGGGCAAGCUAAUCUCUUAAAGCCGAUCUCAGUUCGGACUGUAGGCUGCAACUCGCCUACACGAAGUCGGAAUCGCUAGUAAUCGCGGAUCAGCAUGCCGCGGUGAAUACGUUCCCGGGCCUUGUACACACCGCCCGUCACACCAUGGAAGUUUGUAACGCCCAAAGUCGGUGGCCUAACCAUUUGGAGGGAGCCGCCUAAGGCGGGACAGAUGACUGGGGUGAAGUCGUAACAAGGUAACC